GACCCAGAACUCCUACGGGAGGCAGCGGUGGGGAAUAUUGGGCAAUGGGCGCAAGCCUGACCCAGCAACGCCGCGUGAAGGAAGAAGGCUUUCGGGUUGUAAACUUCUUUUCUCAGGGACGAAGCAAGUGACGGUACCUGAGGAAUAAGCCACGGCUAACUACGUGCCAGCAGCCGCGGUAAUACGUAGGUGGCAAGCGUUAUCCGGAUUUACUGGGUGUAAAGGGCGUGUAGGCGGGGGCGCAAGUCAGAUGUGAAAACCAUGGGCUCAACCUGUGGCCUGCAUUUGAAACUGUGUUUCUUGAGUGCUGGAGAGGCAAUCGGAAUUCCGUGUGUAGCGGUGAAAUGCGUAGAUAUACGGAGGAACACCAGUGGCGAAGGCGGAUUGCUGGACAGUAACUGACGCUGAGGCGCGAAAGCGUGGGGAGCAAACAGGAUUAGAUACCCGCGUACC
rnacentral:rRNA from 1 species